GACGAACGCUGGCGGCGUGCUUAACACAUGCAAGUCGAACGGAAAGGCCCUGCUUUUGUGGGGUGCUCGAGUGGCGAACGGGUGAGUAACACGUGAGUAACCUGCCCUUGACUUUGGGAUAACUUCAGGAAACUGGGGCUAAUACCGGAUAGGAGCUCCUGCUGCAUGGUGGGGGUUGGAAAGUUUCGGCGGUUGGGGAUGGACUCGCGGCUUAUCAGCUUGUUGGUGGGGUAGUGGCUUACCAAGGCUUUGACGGGUAGCCGGCCUGAGAGGGUGACCGGCCACAUUGGGACUGAGAUACGGCCCAGACUCCUACUGGAGGCAGCAGUGGGGAAUAUUGCACAAUGGGCGGAAGCCUGAUGCAGCAACGCCGCGUGCGGGAUGACGGCCUUCGGGCUGUAAACCGCUUUCGCCUGUGACGAAGCGUGAGUGACGGUAAUGGGUAAAGAAGCACCGGCUAACUACGUG
rnacentral:rRNA from 1 species